UCUUUUUUUUUUUUUUUUUUUUGGAAACUGAAAAAGUAUUACCAGGAUGAAGAUGUUAACGAAGGACGAAAGAAAGCCUACAACAAGACCAACAAGCAAGAAAGCAACAAAACCCGAAGCAAUGAGGGGAUAUGGAGAAAGACCCUAGAACCAAAUUCAAGUGUCUCCCCUACAACUGCCAACCAUUGAUCAAUAGAGAUAAGAGCAAAAUUGAAGUGUUGUAAUCGUCUGCUGCUCCGCACCACAUCCCCACUCCGUAAUAGAGACGAGCCGCUGUCCGUCUCUUCCUACUCUCUCUCUCCGCCGCGGCCACCACCAGCCGUGCCUCCUGUCACGAGUUCCUCCCAUUUAACUAUCUAUCCUCUCCAAACACCACCGAUUUAAUCCCGACGUAUACACUUUUUGGUUUUUCAUUUUUAUUUUUAUUUUUAUUUGUUUGAUCGGUACAGGGUUUUGUACUAACCUCAAAGAGAUGAUAUUUUGUAUUUGAUUUUUGAGUAUUUGUUGUCUUUGUAUAAGAAUCACUAUUUGGAUUAAUUGUUGAUUUUCAA